GUAACAAGGUUUCCGUAGGUGAACCUGCGGAAGGAUCAUUAUUGAAUGAACUUGGUGUGGUUGUCGCUGGCCCUCUUGGGGGCAUGUGCACACCUACCAUCCUCAUCUCUCCACCUGUGCACCUCUUGUAGAUUUGGAAUUGAUUAUCCGAGGCAACUCGGUCGUGAGGACUGCUAGCACUUAGCUGGCUUUCUUUGCAAUUCCAGGUCUAUGUUUUUCAUAUACCCCAUUGUAUGUAACAGAAUGUAUCAUUGGGCCCUUGUGCCUAUAAAACCUUAUACAACUUUCAGCAACGGAUCUCUUGGCUCUCGCAUCGAUGAAGAACGCAGCGAAAUGCGAUAAGUAAUGUGAAUUGCAGAAUUCAGUGAAUCAUCGAAUCUUUGAACGCACCUUGCGCUCCUUGGUAUUCCGAGGAGCAUGCCUGUUUGAGUGUCAUUAAAUUCUCAACCAUUAUCAACUUUUGCUGAUAAUGGCUUGGAUGUGGGGGUCUAUUUUGCUGGCUUCUCAGAUAGUCAGCUCCCCUUAAAUGCAUUAGCCGGUGCCCCGCGUGGACUGUCUAUUGGUGUGAUAAUUAUCUACGCUAUAGACAUCUGCAAUCAUAUGGGUUUGCGCUGCUUCUAACAGUCUGUUGAUUCGGACAAUACAUGACAAUUUGACCUCAAAUCAGGUAGGACUACCCGCUGAACUUAA
rnacentral:rRNA from 1 species